rnacentral:ncRNA from 1 species
CUUCAGGGUUCGGUGAAAUUCCGUACCGGCGGUAAAGCCCGCGAGCAUAUGCUGAUUUGGUGAAAUUCCAAAGCCGACAGUUAAAGUCUGGAUGAAAGAAGU